UUAAAUUGAAGAGUUUGAUCAUGGCUCAGAUUGAACGCUGGCGGCAGGCCUAACACAUGCAAGUCGAGCGGAAACGAGUUAUCAGAACCUUCGGGGGACGAUAACGGCGUCGAGCGGCGGACGGGUGAGUAAUGCCUAGGAAAUUGCCCUGAUGUGGGGGAUAACCAUUGGAAACGAUGGCUAAUACCGCAU
rnacentral:rRNA from 1 species